rnacentral:rRNA from 1 species
AUUGAACGCUGGCGGCAUGCUUUACACAUGCAAGUCGAACGGCAGCACGGGCUUCGGCCUGGUGGCGAGUGGCGAACGGGUGAGUAAUAUAUCGGAACGUACCCAAGAGUGGGGGAUAACGUAGCGAAAGUUACGCUAAUACCGCAUACGAUCUAAGGAUGAAAGCGGGGGAUCGCAAGACCUCGUGCUCCGGGAGCGGCCGAUAUCUGAUUAGCUAGUUGGUGAGGUAAAGGCUCACCAAGGCGACGAUCAGUAGCUGGUCUGAGAGGACGACCAGCCACACUGGAACUGAGACACGGUCCAGACUCCUACGGGAGGCAGCAGUGGGGAAUUUUGGACAAUGGGCGCAAGCCUGAUCCAGCAAUGCCGCGUGAGUGAAGAAGGCCUUCGGGUUGUAAAGCUCUUUUGUCAGGGAAGAAACGGUAGGGGCUAAUAUCCCUUGCUAAUGACGGUACCUGAAGAAUAAGCACCGGCUAACUACGUGCCAGCAGCCGCUGUAAUAC